rnacentral:rRNA from 1 species
GUGAGGGAAAGGCGAAAAGAACCCCGGCGAGGGGAGUGAAAAAGAACCUGAAACCGUGUACGUACAAGCAGUGGGAGCACCCUUCGGGGUGUGACUGCGUACCUUUUGUAUAAUGGGUCAGCGACUUAUAUUCUGUAGCAAGGUUAACCGUAUAGGGGAGCCGGAGGGAAACCGAGUCUUAACCGGGCGUUAAGUUGCAGGGUAUAGACCCGAAACCCGGUGAUCUAGCCAUGGGCAGGUUGAAGGUUGGGU